AGCGAACGCUGGCGGCAGGCCUAACACAUGCAAGUCGAGCGCCCAGCAAUGGGAGCGGCAGACGGGUGAGUAACGCGUGGGGAUCUACCCAUUGGUACGGAAUAACCCAGGGAAACUUGGACUAAUACCGUAUGUGCCCUUCGGGGGAAAGAUUUAUCGCCAAUGGAUGAACCCGCGUCGGAUUAGCUAGUUGGUGAGGUAAAGGCUCACCAAGGCGACGAUCCGUAGCUGGUCUGAGAGGAUGAUCAGCCACACUGGGACUGAGACACGGCCCAGACUCCUACGGGAGGCAGCAGUGGGGAAUAUUGGACAAUGGGCGCAAGCCUGAUCCAGCCAUGCCGCGUGAGUGAUGAAGGCCUUAGGGUUGUAAAGCUCUUUCGCCGGUGAAGAUAAUGACGGUAACCGGAGAAGAAGCCCCGGCUAACUUCGUGCCAGCCGCCGCCGUAACAC
rnacentral:rRNA from 1 species